GCCUUUAAUAUUUGCUUAUAUAAGGAAUUUGCAUUUACUUUGACUUUUUACAUGUACUCUAGUAUGACAAUGAAAUACUUUUUCCCACCACUGUAAUUUGUAAUAAUUUCUCUUUUAGGCCUAGGCCUACACAUUAUUGAACUGAAAUAUAGGCUGUCAUAGCAAAGAGGAGAAAAUGUAACUAAGUAAAGAACAAGAAAAAGUAUUUCAUUUGGUUGAUUUUGAAUUUAUAAAAAAUGUACUCAAUGAGACACAUUGUGCAAAGUGAUUAAACAUCACACACAGGACUUGGAAAAAUCUCCAAGUCAUACUCUGACAGAGUAUGGGCUGCCAGACAAUAGUAUGGGGGAUAUAGGCUACAUUAACUGUCUUUACAAAAGACAUACUGGAUUGUUGAAAAUAGCAAGAGUUUGGAGACAGUUUUCGUCAAUCUGCAAUAGACACAUUCAGGUAAUGUUUUAUAAUUUUUACACAAAACAUAAAACAAAAUUGACAAGUUUGAUCUUAAAUCAGUGUAUUGCUUAUCACAGAGUGAUGAUUACAGGUAUAAUACCCAGCUUGGGUAAAUAUUCAUCAUGGAGGAACAGUGAUGCUGUAGCUUAGGUCCAUCAUUAUCAAAUGGAUAACUAAUACAUGUUUCAUAUAAGAUGCUCAAUACAAUGUAAAUAAAACUAUAUUAGUACACAAAUGUAGUGGAAACAAUUGCUUAUUCUCUAAGAUUUGACCUUAAAACAGAUCAUUAGACAAUCACCAAAAGUUUGGGUAACAGUCCUCAUAGAGGACUUGCUCAUGAAUAACCAUUCAACAUAAUCAACACACUUUAGAAAACAUAAAGGUUACUCAUUAUAUAAUACCAUCACACUACAAAAAUGUAGUUUUCAUAGUAUGGAUCAUUUUCUUAGAAAAACUUCUUCAGUAAAACUGAAAUGAACAGUCUCCAUCAGAGCAAGACUUUUAGAAACUCCUGCAUGAGCAGAAGAUAAAGAAGAUCUCUUCCUAUUCUCAUUCAUGUCCAUGACAAUCAUACCAUUAUUCUUAGACCAACGUGAUCCAUAGGUUUUCUUUAUGAGUGGAGCUCCAGUCUGUAGGACUCUACCAGGGCCUCCAAUGGACGCUGCUGACUGGACUCUUCUCUUUGCUGAUGCCUGAGCCAGGUCACUCUCCCCGUCUGUUCUUAUCACAGGAUGGCUGCAGGCUCUGGAAGUGGCUCAGCAGUCUUCUCUGGGAUGUGUCUUCACCUCAUCCUUGGACAAGAAGCGUGCAAUCUCUUGGACACAUCUGGAGUAACCCUGAUUGACAGGUGCUGAGCAUGAGGAGGAGCUCACUCGCUGGAUCUGUUGCCGUCCUCUCAGGAAGCAAACUCAUUUUCAGGAUGUCGGCUUUCUCCAGCUUGAAGUCAGGCUGCUGAUUGAGGAUCUCUGGACCCAGGAGAGACUUGAGCUGCUCAAUGCUGCUGUUGAUACGAUCUCUGCGUAACUUCUCCACCACUGGCUUUCUUAGUUGCGAGAAGAGGAGGAGUGUGAAUCUUGAAUCUUCAAUUUACCUUUUUGGUCAGUCAGAUGCUCCUUAUAGUAGAUCAUUGCUGAAGUGAUUGUAGGCCCCAUGGCUGGAUCCCUGUGCUGUAGAGAUCUCUGUGUAGAGUUAUUUCUACUGGC
rnacentral:lncRNA from 1 species